UACUGUUUUUUGAUAGCCUCGCGUUUCAGUCUCUCAGAUCGCGAGACUAUGUCAAACAGUUAA
rnacentral:pre_miRNA from 1 species